rnacentral:rRNA from 1 species
AUAAGCACUCCGCCUGGGGGGUACGGUCGCAAAACUGAAACUCAAAGGAAUUGACGGGGGCCCGCACAAGCGGUGGAGCAUGUGGUUUAAUUUGAAGCAACGCGAAGAACCUUACCAGGUCUUGACAUCCUUUGACAAUCCUAGAGAUAGGACGUCCCCUUUGGGGGCAGAGUGACAGGUGGUGCAUGGUUGUCGUCAGCUCGUGUCGUGAGAUGUUGGGUUAAGUCCCGCAACGAGCGCAACCCUUGAUUUUAGUUGCCAGCAUUCAGUUGGGCACUUUAAGGUGACUGCCGGUGACAAACCGGAGGAAGGUGGGGAUGACGUCAAAUCAUCAUGCCCCUUAUGACCUGGGCUACACACGUGCUACAAUGGACAGAACAAAGGGCAGCGAAACCGCGAGGUUAAGCCAAUCCCACAAAUCUGUUUUCAGUUCGGAUCGCAGUUUGCAACUUGACUGCGUGAAGCUGGAAUCGCUAGUAAUCGCGGAUCAGCAUGCCGCGGUGAAUACGUUCCCGGGCCUUGUACACACCGCCCGUCACACCACGAGAGUUUGUAACACCCGAAGUCGGUGAGGUAACCUUUAUGGAGCCAGCCGCCGAAGGUGGGACAGAUGAUUGGGGUGAAGUCGUAACAAGGUAGCCGUA